UCGGGAAUUUUGGGCAAUGGGGGAAACCCUGACCCAGCAACGCCGCGUGAAGGAUGAAGUAUUUCGGUAUGUAAACUUCGAAAGAAUAGGAAGAAUAAAUGACGGUACUAUUUAUAAGGUCCGGCUAACUACGUGCCAGCAGCCGCGGUAAUACGUAGGGACCAAGCGUUGUUCGGAUUUACUGGGCGUAAAGGGCGCGUAGGCGGCAUGACAAGUCACUUGUGAAAUCUCUGGGCUUAACCCAGAACGGCCAAGUGAUACUGUCGCGCUAGAGUGCAGAAGGGGCAAUCGGAAUUCUUGGUGUAGCGGUGAAAUGCGUAGAUAUCAAGAGGAACACCUGAGGUGAAGACGGGUUGCUGGGCUGACACUGACGCUGAGGCGCGAAAGCCAGGGGAGCAAACGGGAUUAGAUACCCAGGUAGUCCCUGAGCGGGCUGG
rnacentral:rRNA from 1 species